rnacentral:rRNA from 1 species
AGCUCCAAGAGCAUAUAUUAAAGUUGUUGCAGUUAAAAAGCUCGUAGUUGGACUUCUGGUUUAAUGCACCUGGCCCGCGGCCCACAAGGCCUGUGAGUGCCGGCGCGCGUUUACCAUCCUUCCAGCAACGCUACCCUUAACUGGGCGGUGGAACUGGAUCUUUUACUUUGAAAAAAUUAGAGUGUUUAAAGCAGGCGUUUGCUCUGAAUACAUUAGCAUGGAAUAAUAAUCUAGGACUUCGGUUCUAUUUUGUUGGUUUCUAUAACUGAAGUAAUGAUUGAUAGGGAUAGUUGGGGGUGCUAGUAUUGGCCGGUCAGAGGUGAAAUUCUUGGAUUCGGUCAAGACUAACUUAUGCGAAAGCAUUCACCAAGGAUGUCUUCU